rnacentral:rRNA from 1 species
GACGAACGCUGGCGGCGUGCCUAAUGCAUGCAAGUUGAGCGCUGAAGGUUGGUACUUGUACCAACUGGAUGAGCAGCGAACGGGUGAGUAACGCGUGGGGAAUCUGCCUUUGAGCGGGGGACAACAUUUGGAAACGAAUGCUAAUACCGCAUAAAAACUUUAAACACAAGUUUUAAGUUUGAAAGAUGCAAUUGCAUCACUCAAAGAUGAUCCCGCGUUGUAUUAGCUAGUUGGUGAGGUAAAGGCUCACCAAGGCGAUGAUACAUAGCCGACCUGAGAGGGUGAUCGGCCACAUUGGGACUGAGACACGGCCCAAACUCCUACGGGAGGCAGCAGUAGGGAAUCUUCGGCAAUGGACGAAAGUCUGACCGAGCAACGCCGCGUGAGUGAAGAAGGUUUUCGGAUCGUAAGACUCUGUUGGUAGAGAAGAACGUUGGUGAGAGUGGAAAGCUCAUCAAGUGACGGUAACUACCCAGAAAGGGACGGCUAACUACGUG